rnacentral:lncRNA from 1 species
GUAGAAGGACUUUCCCUUUUCAUUGCACCAGAUGCAGAUUUUCCCAACGCCAAUUUUCUCUCCCAAAUACUUUAUUAGUCCUCUUAGAUCCACAAGGUACUCUAUGUCUGGAAUGAAGAAACUGUGAACUUUUGUCAUAUGGGCCACGUUCUUCAUGAGAGUUCUGGAAUGGUGGGAACAGAACAAGCAGUCCGUAACGGGUAUGGCCCCAAUGGCACAAGUGCUCUCAGCUUCUGCUUGCUUCUCCUCCUCUUCUUCCACACCUUCCAUUUCUUCUUCAGAGCCAAGGUCUUCAUCAGAAUCCAUGUCUUCCCAGCCUUCUUCUGAAUCCUCUUCUUCCUCUGCUUCCUGUUUUGCCAGUUUCUUUGCUUGUUGUUCAAACCACUGUAGCCGCGGAGGCUUCUCGGUUCGUUCUUUACUCUGCAAUAGACCGGCGCUUUCCAUAGGAACUGGAGAGCUGCUUGCGUGACUAGGAGGUAAGGGCACCUUCUUUGGAGAUGAGGAUGGCUGAGCUCUGAUGGCUUGCUGUAUAGCUGCGUUCAUCUCAUCUUUGUCUACACUCUCCACAGCAAGCCCCUUUUCCAGGUUCUUUUCAUUUAAUAUCUUCACCUUCUUGCUGACGGCUUGGACAGCUUUCUUCUCCAGCUCCAGGUGCUUCUUGGACUUCAAGUGAUUCUCAUAGGCAUUGAAGGUGGAGAACCUCUUGCUGCAAACCGUGCAGUAGGUGGCAGUGACUUUGUCCCGCUCCUCAGCCACCGCCCUCUGCGCUAAGACUCUCUCUUGGAAGUUCUCAGCGGUGACGGGAGGCAUGUCGGCAACCUUGCGCUUCAGGUUGUAGCGGUGCCAGUCGGUUUUGUAAUGGGCGCGCUGGAUGUCAGCGUCCUUGAAAGCCACACGGCAAGUGAUGCACGUGUAGGUCGCCAUUACUGGAAAGCUGCCGCCCGUGUGCCCGCCGAACUGAAGGCGUGGAGCCGCAGCCGCCGCGCUGCGCAG